UUUUAUUUUUUUCCUCCAGCUAUGUAAAGUGGUCCAAAACUUUAGCUUUUCUGUAAAUUUCUAUAGUGUCUAAAAUUUUUAAGCGACAAGUAUUGUUAACACUAAACUUUUUUUAUAUAAGGACUAACUCAUGAAUAAACUUCAAAGUUCAUUCUCUUAUAUAAGUAUUAAUAGCAGGAGAUUUUUACUUAACACUUAAUUUUAACUACAUGAUACUUUAUAUAUA
rnacentral:lncRNA from 1 species